UCCCAAAGGGCGGUAGAAAAAGAGGCGGAGUUCGGCAGUCAGAGGCGGGGCCAUCCCUCAGCCUGUUCUCCGAUUGGUCGGAUUCUCUCCCGCCUUCCGCGCUUUCUGGACGCAAGCGCGCGGGGCCUAUGGCCUCUUCUCUCCUGUGACGCGAGACCAGGCGUUUCUCUCCAGGACAUGACAGCUGUCCCAGUUGGUUUCCUAAUCUCCAAAACGGAGUAAUAUCUAUCUCACAAAGUGACUAUGGAAAUGAAAAAAGAGGUUGGGUUCUCUAGAGAAGCAAAACCAGUGAAGAGAGAGAGAGAAAGAGAGACUUAUAUCAAAGAAAUGGCUCAUCCUUUUGUAGAGGCUAAAAAGUCCCAAGUCUGUGGAUCAGGCUGGAGGCUUCUCCUGAAUCACAUAGCUGCAGGUGCUGGCAAACCCAAGAAUGGCAGGUCAGACAACAGGCCUCUGACUCACAGGCUGUGGAGGCCAACAAAUCCCAAGAUUAGUAGAUAAGCUGGCAGGUUCACAGACUGUGGAUGAAUCCCAGUAUCAGCAGGUAAGCUGUUGACUCAAGUCCCAAGAACUGGAGGUCAGAUGAACAGGAGCCAGCCGCAGAAUCCAGAGCAAGAAAAAGCCUGCAAGCCUUGCCAGAAAGUCCACCUAUGUUGGAUGCGAGCUAUACCCCCUGGGAAACUUCCUUUCCAUUGAUUGACUACUCACAGCAGAUCCCAUCAUGGAAGAUUACAUCACUAUACGACUGCUGAACACUGAGAAUCAUGCCCAGCCAAGUUGACACACAACCUUAACAAUCACAGUUACUUUAGGUGGAAGUUGAGACUAGACUUAAUGGUCUGACUGAGACUAGAAGGACCCCAGUGAUCAUGGCCCCCAGACCUUCUGUUGGCCCUGGACAGGAACCAUUUCCGAGGCCAGCUCGUCAGACAUGGAUUGGACUGGACAAUGGGUUGGAGAGGGAUGCUGAUGAGGAGUGAGCUAUUUGGAUCAGGUGGACACUUGAGACUAUGUUGGCAUCUCCUGCAUGGAGGGGAGAUGGGAGGAUAGAGGGGGUUAGAAGCUGGCAAAUGGACACGAAAAGAGAGGGUGGAAGGAGGGAGCGGGCUGUCUCAUUGGGGGGAGAGUAAUUGGGAGUAUGUAGUAAGGUGUAUAUAACUUUUUAUGUGAAAGAUUGACCUGAUUUGUAAACUUUCACUUAAAGCACAAUAAAAAUUAUUAAAAAAAAAAAUCCCUUUUUUCCUUUUUAAUGCUGCUUAUCUUAAAUUGUAUUUGGGCUAAUAUUAAUAUCAUUAUACAUUUUUUUAAAAUCAAUUUCCUGGCUUAUCUGUUUCAGUUAUUUUUUUCUCUAAAUAUUUCUGUCAUUUUAUUUCAGGUGAGAUUUUCUACUUCCAUUGAAUUUAGCCCACUUGGAUCUUUUAAGGAAACUCUGGUGGCAUAGUGGUUAAGAGCUAUGGCUGCUAACCAAAAGGUCAGCAGUUUGAAUCCACCAGGCACUCCUUGGAAACUCUAUGGGGCAGUUCUACUCUGUCCUGUAGGGUCACUAUGAGUCGGAAUUGACUUGACGGCAGUGGGUUUGGUUUUGGUUUUUUGGGAUCUUUUAAAAUGUCUCAUAAUUUCUAGCCCUUAAAGGAAUAUCUUUCUUAUUUUUCAAUGUAAUCAUAAAUACUUAGAAAUAUUUUUACUCUCGGCUCCAGGAAAUUGAAAGAGAGGAGAGAGAGUGAGCAUUUAUGUAGUGUACCAUUUUGGUCCUAGUACAUUUUAGUAAUUUUUUAGCUCUGCAGCUUAUUAUAGCAUUUCAAGAGUAGUAUUUUUCCUUAUGGAAAUAAUAACUUUUAGUGUAUAUUAUGGAACAUAUAAUGAAUCCCCAUUUUCAGCUUAUCCAGAAAUAAGUAAGU